CUUUAUUUAAUAUAUAUAUUUUAUACAUUUUUAUAUAUUUAUUUAUAUAUAUUAUAUAUUUAUAUAUUUUAUAUAUAUUAUAUAUAAUAUAUAUAAAAUAUAUUUUUUAUAAUAUAUGUUAUAUAUAUAUUUAAUAUAUAUAUAAAUCUCUACAUAACAAAUUUAUUAUUUGUUAAUAAAAUCUGAAUGAAAUUUCAAUUAACAGCAGCCAUAAGUAAUAUUCUAUCACUACUUAAUGAGCAUUAACUAAUUAAAGAAUCCCAUUUUUAAUUAAUAUCGAUUAUUAAUAAAUAAAUCACAAUUUUUCCCAUUUCCAGGCAAAGAAAACGGUGAAAAAACGAGUCCUGAACCCCAAAAAAACCCCAACAAGCACCAAGAAAGUCCCGAGCACCAAAGUCCUGACAGGGAAAAAGGAAAAAGUGAAGAAAACAGUGGGGGAGAAGAAAGUGAAGAAAACGUCGAAUGUGGAAGGUGAGGGGGAAAAAUUGAGGAAAAAUGGAAAAAUAAUUGAGAAAAAAUGGGAAAAAAGUGAGAAAAAAUGGGAAAAAUCUUGGGAGAAAAAAUUGGGGAAAAUUGAGAAAAAAUGGAAAAAAAAA
rnacentral:lncRNA from 1 species